ACCUGACUUACUCAAUUGGUAGAGCAUGAGACUCUUAGUCUCAGGGUUGUGAGUUCAAGCCCCAUGUUGGGUG
rnacentral:tRNA from 1 species